rnacentral:rRNA from 1 species
AGAUGAACGCUAGCUACAGGCUUAACACAUGCAAGUCGAGGGGCAGCAUGGUCUUAGCUUGCUAAGGCCGAUGGCGACCGGCGCACGGGUGAGUAACACGUAUCCAACCUGCCGUCUACUCUUGGACAGCCUUCUGAAAGGAAGAUUAAUACAAGAUGGCAUCAUGAGUCCGCAUGUUCACAUGAUUAAAGGUAUUCCGGUAGACGAUGGGGAUGCGUUCCAUUAGAUAGUAGGCGGGGUAACGGCCCACCUAGUCUUCGAUGGAUAGGGGUUCUGAGAGGAAGGUCCCCCACAUUGGAACUGAGACACGGUCCAAACUCCUACGGGAGGCAGCAGUGAGGAAUAUUGGUCAAUGGGCGAGAGCCUGAACCAGCCAAGUAGCGUGAAGGAUGACUGCCCUAUGGGUUGUAAACUUCUUUUAUAAAGGAAUAAAGUCGGGUAUGCAUACCCGUUUGCAUGUACUUUAUGAAUAAGGAUCGGCUAACUCCGUGCCAGCAGCCGCGGUAAUACGGAGGAUCCGAGCGUUAUCCGGAUUUAUUGGGUUUAAAGGGAGCGUAGAUGGAUGUUUAAGUCAGUUGUGAAAGUUUGCGGCUCAACCGUAAAAUUGCAGUUGAUACUGGAUAUCUUGAGUGCAGUUGAGGCAGGCGGAAUUCGUGGUGUAGCGGUGAAAUGCUUAGAUAUCACGAAGAACUCCGAUUGCGAAGGCAGCCUGCUAAGCUGCAACUGACAUUGAGGCUCGAAAGUGUGGGUAUCAAACAGGAUUAGAUACCCUGGUAGUCCACACGGUAAACGAUGAAUACUCGCUGUUUGCGAUAUACAGCAAGCGGCCAAGCGAAAGCGUUAAGUAUUCCACCUGGGGAGUACGCCGGCAACGGUGAAACUCAAAGGAAUUGACGGGGGCCCGCACAAGCGGAGGAACAUGUGGUUUAAUUCGAUGAUACGCGAGGAACCUUACCCGGGCUUAAAUUGCAGAUGAAUUACGGUGAAAGCCGUAAGCCGCAAGGCAUCUGUGAAGGUGCUGCAUGGUUGUCGUCAGCUCGUGCCGUGAGGUGUCGGCUUAAGUGCCAUAACGAGCGCAACCCUUGUUGUCAGUUACUAACAGGUUCCGCUGAGGACUCUGACAAGACUGCCAUCGUAAGAUGUGAGGAAGGUGGGGAUGACGUCAAAUCAGCACGGCCCUUACGUCCGGGGCUACACACGUGUUACAAUGGGGGGUACAGAGGGCCGCUACCACGCGAGUGGAUGCCAAUCCCAAAAACCUCUCUCAGUUCGGACUGGAGUCUGCAACCCGACUCCACGAAGCUGGAUUCGCUAGUAAUCGCGCAUCAGCCACGGCGCGGUGAAUACGUUCCCGGGCCUUGUACACACCGCCCGUCAAGCCAUGGGAGCCGGGGGUACCUGAAGUGCGUAACCGCGAGGAGCGCCCUAGGGUAAAA